UGUUUUUCAGCCAGAGGUUUCAGUGAUAGUGACACAGAUUCAGAAAUCAACAAAAAAGAGAAAGGACAAACCAACUAAAAAAGCAAAGUUUGUCUCCGUCAACAUUGACCUUACUUCAGUGCAGCACACCAAUGAGGAUGUUAUAUGAUUUCAACACAGAUUUUGUGUAAAAUUUCACCAGUAUGUACUGAUACCUGUGGACUGAGAGAAAUCAGCUUGUGAAACGGGACUCUGCUGGAGUGCAUAAUAUGUGAUCUAUGCCUGUUUGUAUUAAUACAUAAUAAAAUGUAUUAUUUAACUGACUAAAUCAAAGGUUAAAAGUCUUACAUUGCAUACAAAACACACUAAGCUUUAUUCAUACUUUCAUUCAAGACUCCAUAUUUUCCCCUUCGGGUUGAGGACAAGUAGUUGGCUUGCUCAGUAACAGCUAAUACAUGGAGAAGAGAGAAAAACAAAAAACAUGAAUCCAUAGAAAUGUGUCAAAUACAGAAAUUCUGAAAUGUCAGCUGUCACAGGUUUGGGUCUUAAAGGGUUUCUCUACGCCAAAAUGAAAAUUGUCAAUCACUUAUUCCCAUGUCGUUCCAAACCCAUAAAAGCUUUGUUCGUCUUCGGAACACAAUUUAAGAUAUUUUGGAUGAAAACCAGGAGGCUUGAGAAUUUCCCCUUGACUGCCAAGAAAGUUACACUGUCAAGGUCCAGAAA